rnacentral:rRNA from 1 species
CCUACGGGUGGCAGCAGUGAGGAAUAUUGGUCAAUGGCCGCAGGGCUGAACCAGCCAAGUCGCGUGAGGGAUGACGGUCCUAUGGAUUGUAAACCUCUUUUGUCAGGGAGCAAAGGGCGCCACGUGUGCCUUUUUGCAUGUACUUUAUGAAUAAGGAUCGGCUAACUCCGUGCCAGCAGCCGCGGUAAUACGGAGGAUCCGAGCGUUAUCCGGAUUUAUUGGGUUUAAAGGGAGCGUAGAUGGGUUGUUAAGUCAGUUGUGAAAGUUUGCGGCUCAACCGUAAAAUUGCAAUUGAUACUGGCAGUCUUGAGUACAGUUGAGGUAGGCGGAAUUCGUGGUGUAGCGGUGAAAUGCUUAGAUAUCACGAAGAACCCCGAUUGCGAAGGCAGCUUACUAAACUGUGACUGACAUUGAUGCUCGAAAGUGUGGGUAUCAAACAGGAUUAGAUACCCGGGUAGUC